AUUGAACGCUGGCGGCAUGCUUUACACAUGCAAGUCGAACGGUAACAGGCCGCAAGGUGCUGACGAGUGGCGAACGGGUGAGUAAUGCAUCGGAACGUGCCCAGUCGUGGGGGAUAACGCAGCGAAAGCUGCGCUAAUACCGCAUACGAUCUAUGGAUGAAAGCGGGGGACCGUAAGGCCUCGCGCGAUUGGAGCGGCCGAUGUCAGAUUAGGUAGUUGGUGAGGUAAAGGCUCACCAAGCCAACGAUCUGUAGCUGGUCUGAGAGGACGACCAGCCACACUGGGACCGGGACACGGCCCAGACGCCUACGGGAGGCAGCAGUGGGGAAUUUUGGACAAUGGGCGCAAGCCUGGUCCAGCAAUGCCGCGUGCAGGAAGAAGGCCUUCGGGUUGUAAACUGCUUUUGUACGGAACGAAACGGCUCUGGUUAAUACCUGGGGCUAAUGACGGUACCGUAAGAAUAAGCACCGGCUAACUACGUGCCAGCAGCCGCAGUAAUAC
rnacentral:rRNA from 1 species